rnacentral:lncRNA from 1 species
AUGGAGUCCUGGCUGGUACUUUUAGAACUCGGGGGCUCAAAUAGAUUCAAUAAGAGCACAAGCGUUUGCUAUCAUUCCACGCGGUUGCCGCCGCCUCCUGCUCAGAAAGCUGCCGAAAGGCUGAUUCCUGGAUCACGCUUCCCCUGCGUCAGCCUGCCCUCUAGUGGAAGACGGCGGUGUGACAGGAGCGCGGCUCUUCCCCAUUUCCGGUCUUCAAAAUCAACAACUGACCUUAAGGCAAAGACCACUCUGAUGGGGCUGACCACAGGUACCCAGGACCCUCCAUCAGUGCCAAGUACCAGACAGAUACCAGACAGACUUCACUCCAUCAGCUUAGUGUCACCUCUGUGCAAGCCGUCGUUCACUUCUCUCCCUGGGCCUCAUUAUCUCCACCUGUAAAAUGGGCCCAGCAGUGACUACCGAUGAGAUCGUUGUGGGGAUUAGCUGGAAGGGCGUAUGUGAAAGCACCUCAUCCAGAGUCUGGCAUAUAAUAGGUACUCAGCAAAAGUUAGAUGGGUUUUUGUUAAUUGCAUAUUGUACUUGAACACUCCCUAGACAAAUAAUGAGAAAAAUUCAGUUUGAGUCACUGACUCUGUCACUUGUUCACUAUGUAACCUUGUGUAAGUUGCUUAAUCUCUUUGAGCCUCAGUUUCUUUAUCUUAUAACGUCUUCCUCAUAGAUGGUAAGGAGGGUUAAAUGAUAAAAUAUGCAGAGGAUUUGAUGAGCUGAGAAGAGCUUCACGGGGCUUGGGAGGAGGUGUCGGUGAAGCUCUAGAAGGUCACAGCAGGAGAACAGAUCUGACUCGGCAUGCAGCCGUGUGACUCAGGAAUAAAGUGGAAGAAGAGAGAAAACA